ensembl:misc_RNA 7SK 7SK RNA
GAGUCUGUACUGCGUGCUCGGUCGAAGAGGACGACCUUCCUCGAUAGAGGAGGACCGUUCUUCAGUCAAGGGUAUACGAGUAGCUGCGCUCCCCUGCCAGAACCUCCAAACAAGCUCUCAAGAAGGAGUCUGUAAGGAAACCCAAAGACAACAGGGGAGACCAAGACAUCAGAGGAAAUUUUAGCCUCUGAU